GAGAGGAGCUCUGAAUCCCCUGCUCCUGCGCGCUGAGAUGAACUCAGAGUGUGAACUCACUCUGUGAGCCCAUAAACCAGCACACAGACCUGAGCAGUAAGUGAACCUAAAGCUAGUGUCGGGUUAAGAUGUCCUGAUUAUGCUUCUAGCCAAAGGCUCAACUCCAACUUUUUUUAUUUUUGCAACUGAAAGAAGCUUUCCAAGCUGCAGCUUUGACUGUGAUCUGCCACCUACUAUGUCAGCAAAAGGCAUUCCUCUGGCCGAAGGAGAGUGAGUACUCCUGUGGAUGGAACACCAUGGCAUUGAAGAACAGCGGCUACUCUCUGAGAAGGGGCCUAGAGAGAACUUGCAGGAAACAGCAAGGGCUUUGGAGGUGGUUGACGGAGAACCGGUGUCCCUUCUUUCCGCCUAUCAGCCCCUGGUGUGUGACCCAGGGGCAGGUGCUGUGCUAUGCUGAGCCUCAGCUUCAUCCUUGCUGCAGCCACUGACGCCCUUGCGUCCUGGAGCCAACUACUGAAAUCCUCGCGCCUUAGAGCCAGCGCUCCACAACGAGAAAAGCCACCACUGUGAGAAGCCCUAGCGCCGGAACUAGAGAGUAGCCCCGGCUUGGCGCAACUAGAGAAAGCCCGCAACCCAAGAGCCUGCACGGCCAAGAACAAAUAAACAAGUAAACAAAUUUCUUUAAAUUGCUCAAAAAGUUAAAUUAGCAUCACCAAAAUAUUCAGAAACUGCUAUCAGGGACUUCAAUAGUUUCUUGUGUGUGUGUGUGUGUGUGUGUGUGUGUGUGUGUGUGUGUGUGAACCUGUAACUCGUGGUUGUGAUUUCAAUGUAUAGUUUGUGAUUUCACGGCAGAGCUUUUGCUUGUAAAACUACUCCUAGAACACUUGAGGGGACUGACUGAUCGGCGACAUGGUGUCCUGCAGAGACGACUCUGACUUGGCAGGCACUCUAACCUCUGACAAGUCUGAGGACGGCCCCAGGGCCUGCCAAGCUUAUGACUUAACAAGAUCACUCCUCUCCGGAGCGGGGGACCAUUGGCAAGCUCGGCCAGGAAGGCAAGACCAGAAUUGAAUAUGCAGUGGAGCUCUUCUGUUCUUUAAACUCAGAGAUCAUCCAGCGGGGAGUGCACAAAAGUGGGAACCCAACCAAACCAGAGGUUCACCGCCCCCGCCCCCGGCCCUCACAAAGAGGAGGACCCAGGAGCAAAGCGGUGGGAACCCGUGCUCCUACCGAAGCAGCAGUGAUGUGGGCCACAAGAAAGCGGAAGGUGCGGGCCCCAGCCAGAGGCAGGCGCAGCCAAGUCGGACAGGCUUUAAUUAUUUUAGGGUCAGAAGUCUGUGCUGGGUAAACACGCCAGAUGUUUAUGCUUUUGUAUAUUUUGAUUUCUUGUUUGUUUUACUUGUUGUUGAUGAUGUUGUUGUUUUAGUAAAACUCUAAAUAAGAAAA